rnacentral:rRNA from 1 species
UACGGAGGGGGCUAGCGUUGUUCGGAAUUACUGGGCGUAAAGCGCGCGUAGGCGGCUUUGUAAGUCAGAGGUGAAAGCCCGGAGCUCAACUUCGGAAUAGCCUUUGAGACUGCAUCGCUUGAAUCCGGGAGAGGUGAGUGGAAUUCCGAGUGUAGAGGUGAAAUUCGUAGAUAUUCGGAAGAACACCAGUGGCGAAGGCGGCUCACUGGACCGGCAUUGACGCUGAGGUGCGAAAGCGUGGGGAGCAAACAGG